UGUUUUUUUUGUCUAUAAGGGCUCUGCACAAGUGCUAUGCUGUUCUAUACACCUAUAUGGGAACCGAUCCGGUGUAUGUCACUUGAACUUGGAGCGUUCCGCGGGAAUACUCAUGAGCUUAUCUGCUCACCCACUUCCUUGGAUUGUUUAGGGUACUAUCCAUGUAAGUGAGAGUCGCGGUUGACGACUUUGGAGUGCUUAAUUUUAAUCAUAUAAUGCAUGAAAGAAACGUUACAAGAUGGAUACGCAGAAAAUAAAAAAAUAAAAAAAGAGCAAAUAGAAAACAAAAGAAACAAACAAAAUCAAAGAAGAAAAAAAAUUCUAUAUAUAUAUAUAUAUAUAUAUUUAAAAUCAAAUAAUAAUAAUGAAAAAAAAUCCAACAACUACUCCAUAACUCUAAUGACUACCCACAGGUCUUCAUAAAUCAUGAAAAACACAAAUAACUAGAAACUCGUUGAAAAUCUUGAGAACCUGAGAACAAAUGCUGGCAGUCAUGCAUACACUAUGCAUACACUCUACAGUUCAGAGAAGUACAAAAUCAACAAUAGAAAAUUUCCUAAAAAUGUUCGAUCCCAAGUGGGUUUUCCAAUCAACACCUCGACGUGCAGCGGAAAGCAUGCAAGCAGGGAAAAUGCGGUGAGUGGAGGUGAUGGAGUGUGGGUGAAAGAGGGGGAGAAAGGGAGCGGCAAAAACAGACGCAACAGAGAGAAAGGGCAGGUAAAGAGAGAGAGACAGACGGGUGGAGUGAAAGACAUGGCGGGGAAGACACAUCCGGUAGAGGGAGGGAGUGAGUGCGGACGGAGGACGGACCUGCAUCGGUGAGACGCGAGGCGACCCUGAAUUAAACUCUGGGUUUCAUCUUUGAUUCCCUCCUCGCAACGGACACAACGACGGUUCCAAACAGAAUUCUAAAAGCUGUGGAGAAGUAGGGUAUCGAUCCCCAUGCCCCAAGCACACUGUGCGAGCGCCCUUCCACUUCAGUCACUUACCCGCAGCCCGACAGCCAUAAUCCUCAUCAGAUGGUGAAAAGGUAUCAGCGAAUCACUUUGACUCUGUUUUGUAUUUCAGGCUAAAGCCCCCGAUAAAGGUGGAGCACCACCGUGUAAAGACAUACUCCGGCAUGGUUACGAUCGUUGAUCAACCGCAGAGUAACUGAUGUUGGUUUUCCAUGCUCUCGUGAAAGGAUUCCAGAUUAACGUGCAGGUGUUUGUUGUGAUAAGCUUUGCUUAAAUUGAAGCAAGUACUAUCCGUCCUGAUUGCUCUGCUUGUUAAAUUUACCAGAACAUAGUCAAUCAUAAAUAAAUAGAGCUCACCCUCAAUUUCGUGGACUCUCUCAAGGUUGAAGAGAAAAGUCCCGUGGUAUUGAAUGCAGGUGGAGAAGAUGGGCCUAUAUCCGAAGCAUUUCGGACAUGAAAUUAUGUGUAGAGAAGAAUGCGGUGGAUGAAUUUGAACAGGACCCACUUUUAGAAAACAUCUCAAUUGCCUCACUACACACUUUUUAUUUGAGAAGAAUUUCAUCAAAAUUGAGAGAUACAGUCUGACAUUUCUAGAAGGCGGAGUGGUCACUAGUUCGAUUUGUGAAGGAGUGCGUAUGAAUAUGUGAGUUGGAAUCAUGCCUCACAGCAAUGCAUGUUUAGCAAGUUAGGUUGUAAUCCAGGUUAGUAGGAUACGCUGAGGAUCACUCAAAACCGAAGUACCCAUAAAUCCGUGAGGGACAAAUACACCGUGAAUGCAUACAAACAACCUGACGAUACCUCCUUGCCUUGUUUCCCAUACCCAGAUCUUCGGCAAAACAAAAAUCUCUGGGUAUCGCUAACCUAGGAUGAGGAACUCUAUAUUUGCUAUAUUUCAAGUCACUAGCACAUUUCAGAACUUUAUCUAGAUAUUGAUCAUUACAACCUGCCUAUGGUUGACUCAUUAACGUUGAUAACAGAACUUUCGACUACCCAUUCUUUUCCCCAACAGGUUCCCCCCUGCGAAUUCCAAGAAUCAUGCAGUGGUUCAUGAGCUUGAGCUAAUCAGGAUUGCACUAAAUUUCCCACUUUUUCAUAUCCAUUCCUGUUGGAGCACUUCCUUCGACCUUCUUCUUGCCAACAUCCUUCCAAUUUGUGGAAAGUACUGUCCCAUUUGACUCCACCUGUUCAAACAUAGUGAGAUGCAGUCAUCCCAAUGUAAUCAGAAUGAGAACAUUCCUGCAAUAAAACAUGCAUAUUAUGGCCUACCAAUAUUACUUCAAGUCGGGAGACAAGUUCAAAAUUGGAAACAAUAUGGAAAAAGAGACAUACGAAUGACUUAUUCAUUGCCCGCCUUGUAUCCUCGUCAGCACUCGAGUAUAUAUCUCGAAACAACUUGUUAAGAGCUGCAUCCCCCUCUAGUUUUUCAUCCUUCUCCUGCAAGGAUAGACACCCCAAACGAAGGAUUACUACAAUAUCUAAAAGGUAAAAAAAAUCGUUGAAAACAAGACUGUCUGAGAAACCUCAGGCUCAGAAAACUCAAAGACCAAGUGCUUAUAACAAGUAAAGUAACCGAACGCAUGUAAGCUGAAGCUUCACGAGCUCUGAGUUUGCAAGCUUCAAUCAUUGGCCUGUGGACAUACUUCUUUCUUCACUUCAGCCUCAAUCCUGUCCCAAUCCUUCGACGGCUUUUUUGUGGAUGAGGGAUACUCCUUCACAUCUGUGUCCCACACACAGGAGAAGUAAGAGUUAUUAAGCAUACAUAGGCAGUCUCUGUCAUCAAGUUGAGCAUCAUAUGUUAAAUGAAGUUCGAAAUGAAUCGAAGUAAGGAAACGGAUCAAGACCUUUCUUGGUGGCUACUUUAACAGUUACAGACUUCGGGUCGAACUCCAACUGCUUCCACUGCGAAGGGUCCGCCUUGGCGAGCUUGAUCUCCACCUUAGUGCUGAGUAAGCUGUAACUGCACUUACUCGGAACAAUCUACAAAUUCCAAGUUCGCAGUAUAUCAGAGAGAGGCAACAUGUAGCUCACAGAGACUGAACAAUGGAUAUCAAAGCGGCUGAAUAAAAGAAAAAUUGCACUAUAACGAGUCUCAAAGAGAAGAAGACAUACCUUGCCAUACAGGCGAGUCUGAAAAACGUAAGGCUCCUCUGAUUCUCCGGCCUUGAUGACCACACUAAGCUGCAACAGAAGUAAACAUUCAAACCUAAGCUUAAUGUGUAAAUUUAAAAAUAAUAAGACUCGGUUCAGAGCUUAACAUACCCUUCCAAUCUAGAGAACGUUAAUACCACCGUUCUGACCGCUUGUCAAACUAAAUCGCAACACAUACCUUUAAAAUUGCAAGAGCAUGAAAAUAACACCUACAAUCAUGUAGGUAUGUAGAGACAUGCAGCUAAAACAUGACUUACUAUUUGCUCCCCAAAGUCGACUUCCAAGUCCUCCUUUCUGAUUUUUUUUGCGAAGAUCUCAAUGGAAGUAUAAGAUUGUGACUGGUACCAAGUGUGCCUGCAGAGUAACAAUCGUCCAAAGUCUUAGGAAUAGUUUUUGUUUCACAAUAAUGACAUCACUUGAUCCUAAGAAGAACCUCAACCGCUAUGAUGCAGAUUUUGAAUCGGCAAUGCAAUUAUAGAUCACUGUAUCGACCUUAGCACAAGAAACUCAUUCUAAUUAAAUCAUAUUCGUAACUUCAUAAUAAUGACAACAACCGCUACGGAAUAUUGUCUAUGUAGAAAUAAUAAGUUUCAUUCACAUCUACAUCAUUUGACAUUGUGGAGCAUCACGAAGUAGCGCAGCUGUUGAACAGCAUCGCACCUGUAUUUGGGGGGUGCAGGUGAAGCAGGCUCAGGUGCAGGCACUUCGCUCGAGGAAGGCUCUUCCUUCUCCAACGAUGGCACAACUUCAGAAUCUGCAGACCGUGUGCUUGUCUCCAUUGGUUCUGCUACCUCUGAGGCACUACUCACCGUAGUUGCAGCAGGUCUAGAGGUUGCAAAUACUUCAGUAUUCUCCUCUACACACAAUUACAAUAUGUGAAUACGUAAAAAACUAAUUCUUUGACCUUGCAUUUUCGAUAGAAAUUAAAAACUUUAUGAAAAUCAUUUUCGAAGGAUAUGAACAAUACCGCUUAUCUUCGCAUCACAUUUAGCUAUCCAAGUCUUGAAUGCAGAGAUCGUUGGAUCCAAAGCGGCUCCUGCUUCAAAGGAUGCCUUCGCAGUUUCAUACUCUUCAAGAUGGAAGCAUGCUAUCCUGUCCAACAAUAAUAGUUGCGUCCAUGUGAUCGUUGCGUUAGCUUGAGCUCAAUCAACAGUGUGAUAAGUUAGGGUUUACUGAAACCCCAAAGCAACCAUAGAAGGUCUCAUUUUAAACCGAAGCAAGGUACUUCCCCAAUUCUCGCGAACCUCUUGGAUAACUGUAAAAACGGAUAGAAAUGUAGCAAUAUUAUGUUUGUAAUUGUGGCUUCUCUUAGUGAAAUUCUAUCAACGAUUAAAAACAUUACCGUGCAACUGAGGUCUAAUAUAUUCUAAUUGAUUGCAAGAGUAGGAACAUCGAUAAAACGAUUUUUUACCAAAAAAACAUCAGCAAGGAAAUACUGCGCAUGCUACUAGUUACGCUGUAGCGGAGGCAUGUAGAAAAUCUUGUAUCAUUUCCUCCGAUCGUCAAAUCAUGAUACGAAGACGGCGGCUGAGUACUAGCAAAUCAAAGAGUAAAGAGUAAUAAAUAACAGCAGAAUACCCUUUCCGAAGAAACGCUUUGGGUGCCUUGGGAUUCAGUUCAAUAGCUCUGUUUGCAUCUGCAACAGCAUCUGUAUCAACCAGCAUUUGUCCCGCCUGAUCAGUGUUGUAAAUUGAGAGAUUCUUGGAUCACACAAAAAUUGUUUACGCCAAUUAUUUCAAAAAAAAGAAAAAGAAAAGGACAAAUAAUCAGUUUAACUGCAAAAACUGGCAGAAAUCGAAUUCCUAUCUACUAAAGACACUGGCGAACCUCAAGAUUCUGAUCUCAACCCACUUAAUAAGGCUAACAUUGUUGUAGAAAACGAACAGUGCACAGAUAAUAAAGAAAAUUUCUAAAUAUAACAAACACGAAUCGCUUGAACUGACAAAAAAUACAAGAACGACAACAGUAAAUUUGACAUUUUCAACGACAUUUCCAAUAUGAUGGUAGAUGAAGUCAUCAAAUAAAUAUUCGAAGGUCACACUAGCUCUCCUUAACAAGAUCUGGCUAUUGGUCCCAUCCAUUUGUAACUUUCUAAACUCGCAGCAGCAUGAUAUUUGAGCACACAACAUAUUUAUCAACGCAGUAACCAACACUUAUCGAAAACAAAACAUUCUCUUCAUAGCUCAACAGCUAAGAUGCUGAAACCAUUUUGGUGAUUACGAUUGGAAACCAAAAUGCACAAGUAGAUAUAUCAUUUCCUUCUAUCUCCGAUGCAUAGAUGAUAUUCGUAUUAUUCGUCUAAAAGCGUAUGUAACGAGGAGAAGAGCGUGGAAUUGAUGAUAUGGUUGUUAAGGUAUAUUGAUCAGCGACUUAUCUAAUUAAAGACCUGAAAGAUUCUCUACAUUGAAUCAUAAACAAGAUAACUGCUCCUGCGUGGAUAUGUUUUAAAGACCAUUUCAGCGAAGAGAAACCAAAAAACAUUUUUGACAUUCAGAUUCAACCUGUCGACGAAGGAAAUAGGGCUACGAAUACCUAAACGUAUGAUCAGUUCUCCUAAUGCACCACUCUCAGAUCUAUCGAGAUAUAGAGCUAUUUCUAUGUAUGUCAAGAACCACUGACACCCUGCAGUCUACCUAACUGAACUCCCACCAAAGUUCAACCAUUACCGGUGUAGUUCUCGAGCUUGGUGUGAGCCGCGGCGCGACUACUGAGCACUGUCGCAUUCGCAGGUUCCAAAGCCAAAGCUUCCGUGUAAAGAUUCACAGCUUCUUCGUAAUCCUCGUCCACGAAGGCAGCGUGCCCUCGCUUCUCAAUAUCCUCUGCCAUCUCAAAACCCACCAUGAUGGCCCAAGACAAUACUCCUCGACCAAGCCCCCUCUAAAAUUGCAGAAAAUUGCAGAAACCCAAUAACUACACCAGGGUCGCGACGAAGACACCCCAGAUUUCCUUAACGCGAACUUGAAAGAUGCGAAGAUCAGACACGCGACAAGGCCGUUUUCACUCAGCGACUGCGCACUCUUACCGACACCGUGAAGGAACCGAACACUCUCGAAGGCCCAUGUUGCUCUGCUAGUAUUGCUGUUUGGGUGGAAAGAACCACCUUUGCAGGGUACACGCGUACCCAAUGCGGGGACCGGAUAGAAAUCGGUGCAUACAUAAACUAUGUAUAUCAACCAGUUCAUGAACAAGAACAUAAGCACCCAGUCAAGGGUGCCCUUGUGAUUCGCACUGGCGGGAAAGGAGACGGUCUCUGCUCUCUUCUUCUCUGCCGUGGCUGUUCGUUCGAGCUGCCUCGGGCCUCGUUUCCGGCAUGCGCACAGACCAUGUCAAUGUGCUUACAACCUUACGUAAGUUGUGGCAUCGUUAUUACGUGUAAAUUCUAUGCGUUGAUGAUGUUUAUUUGUUGGUAGAUCAGCGAUCAAACUAUCUUCGCCUGGCAACAGUGGAUAUGGAGGCUUCUAAGGAGAAGAAGAAGCCCAAGGGGAAGGGAGCUACUGCCACUGAAUCUGUCCUCAAACAAAGUAAUUGAAAUUCAACCUGAUCUAAAAUUCCUUGCGAUGUUCAUGGGUUUCGAUCCUUUGGUCCUAAAAUCAUUUUUGAAAUGCGUUGCUUGUAAUUCCAAUGGUUUUGAGUAUCUAAUUUUGAUUAGGGCAAUGCAUUGUUGUCGAACAGAGUGUUGUGCGAUGGGGUGGUUUGCUGCACAAUGCGCUGUCGGGGAUAUGAAUAAGAUGGACUUUAGUUAUAUGUUGACAUUUAAACAUAACAUAGUAUGGUUAUUUCGCAUUUUAUUGAUUAUGCAAAGACAGCAAUUAUGGCUGUCCCUAAGCUCGAAUGAUCAGCAUCUGCAAUGAACGGUGGUGGGGUAUUACUUUCUUUGUCUACAAUGUCAGUUGGUUUUGCUUUGUCCUGAUAUUCGUGUUUAUUCAAACUGCAGAGUCUCCUGCCGAAUUUUUCUCCGAGAAUAAAAAUAUUGCCGGAUUCGACAAUGUAAGCUUCCUCUUGUCCAUGCUUUACAAUCGUCUGAACUCAUGCGAGACAUGUCUAGUGACCUUGUAGAUUCUAAAAUGGCUUGUAAUCUAUUAACUUGCAGCAAAUGUGAAGACUGCAUUGUGAAGCAGAUAUGAAAAGCUUCUAGAGUGAAAAUCUUCAAUUGACGCUCUAGUCGACGCAUGCACGUACCUUUGAGUGCUAGCCUUCUUUUAUUUUCUCUGCCUAAUGUCGCAUGUACAACUUUUUGUAUAUUAGUAGAAUGGUUUUCUGUUCUGUACAUUUUCACUGGACGCAGGAUUCUCAUCUGAAAUUUUUGCAUUGUGUGGCAGCCUGGAAAGAGUCUUUAUACAACAGUACGUGAGCUGGUUGAAAAUGCCCUUGAUUCAGCAGAGUCCAUUGCUGAGCUUCCUGUCAUUGAAGUGACUAUGUAAGUUGUUGGAAAAUAGUGAUUUUUUAUUUGUUAUCUUUUGCAGAUUUUUCAUUUGUUUAUUUCAGGAGAUGUGAUAGAGCUGAAUGUGGCCUGUACGGUGCCUGUAUUAUCCACAUUAUCCACUUAUUUUUGCUAUUGCACCCUUCUCAAACCACUUUGGAAAACUGCAACUUACAGUUAGCAAAAGGACUUUGAGACCAGGUCUUCUCUCCUCAUCAACAACUCUCUGCUAAUUGAACUCUUGUAGUUGCAUCCUCGUUUUACUCGUGACCUACGUGUGUGGUAAUUUGUGAAAGAGCUAAUGCUAUUUGUGCACCUUGUGCAGUGAGGAGAUUAGCAAAUCUGCAUUUAAUGCUAUGAUUGGGCUUGUUGACCGGGAGCGUAUUGAUGCAGCUUUAUAUGACGAUUUCGAAUCCGAGAAGGCCAAGGAGGUGAUUGACCGAAUUCGUAUGUCUCUGCAUAUGCGAAAGCUUAUUGUUAUUCUUCAUCGCCAUGUUAUUAUGUUGAAAUGAGUGCUCUUUCUUAGCUGUAGCAGUGCAUUGCCACGAAGUUAUUCUAUUCAGUUGAGUCCUUGCUAUUGGCCUUGUGUUUAUUCAGGUUUUGAGGAGUACUUUUGAUUUAGAUCUGCAGUUUCCAUCUUUUCUCACGAUGCAUGAGUCUCUAUGCAGAAACGACUUGCCAAGGAAGCCAAGGAGCAAGAAAAGGUAGCUAAGGCCUUAGCUGCUGGAAAGAAGGUUAAGGAUCCUCAUGCUAAAACUGGUAAAGGGCGUGGCGACACAUGCUUCUUCAAGGUUACUUGCAAGGUACUCACACUUAAGCAGACUUAUACUAUGUUGUGCUUAUCGUAGUAUCUAUGCUCGUUCUUGUGAAAAAGAUUUUAAAACUCUGUGUGAUGGAUGUCUUCUGUGGUAUAUUUUUGAAUCCAAUAAUCGCUUCAAGAUCUUUUAGGGCUGAGUUAGGUUGUGAGUGUUGUUCCUCUAUUAUUAAUAAUCUGUGGGCAUGUGAAGACUUGCUGGAACCAACCUAGAUCACUGAGAGAUACAUACCCAACUGUUUAGUUUUCCAAGCUUAGAAGUUGGAUAGUAAAAUUAUCUCUACUGUAAUUUGUAUUCGGUGCACAACAGUAUCUUGGAAAUGAACUAAACUGAAGGUUUACUGACAGGAUAAUGGGAAAGGUAUGCCACAUGUUGAUAUUCCGAACAUGCUCGGUCGAGGUAUGUGAACUACUUGAUUCAUUUGGUAUGAUGACUGCUUUCUGUUCAUUAGUCAUAUUCAAAUCAGCGCUGUUGUCGCACGACAUUGGAAUUAGUAAAGGUUUACUAAAGAAAUCUUCGUUUCUAAUAAGUUUUGAGGUGCACGUUGUUCAUUCUAUGCACGGUAGUGAUGUGGUGGCAUUGUGUGGUCAGCAAUUUUUCAGCCCCUCCCCUGUUCUGCUCCUCAUACUAACUAGUCCUGAUGUGGAUGCUUGCUGGUGUAUGACAGUUCUGUCAGGAACAAAAUAUGGAUUGAAGCAAACUCGCGGUAAAUUCGGGCUGGGUGCUAAAAUGGUUAGAGAAUAUUUCACUUUCACCUCAAAACACGCCUACAUCCUAUUUAGUUCAUAGAUUUGCAUAUGCAUUCUAUGCAUGGCUCACUGGUUGGCAACUUGCAGAAGAGCCAAAUAUUGCUCUGUUUAUCCCAAGUCUGAGAUUUACCUUCACAUAUGUUAGUUAAAUGUGAUCUAAGCUGAUGUAAAAUUACCUCGUGCAUCCAUUAAUGAGCAGUCAAUUAUGUUUUGACUGCUUUGGGCUUUUUUCAGGCUUUAAUCUGGUCGAAAAUGAGCACUGGUCUGCCGAUCGACAUCUGGAGUUCUACGAAAGGGCAGGACUUUAUUUCUUUCUGCAAGCUUGAUCUUAAUAUUCACCAGUAAGUUGAAUUCAUUCACAGUCGUGAUUUUGCUAAGGAAGAAGUAAUCCGCAAGGUCAUACUGUAUACACACACGCACGCUCACAUAAUGUAUUGCAUGCCUUUGUAGAGCUGUCAGCCGCUAACAUAACCUGCUGUCUUUUUUAUUUUAAAGUUUUUUUUGGAGAUAGAAGUAUCACAAUUUCAUCCAAGUCCGUCCAGUAUGGCUUGUCAUAGCUUUUGGAUGCUGUUUACCUGAGCUAUGUUACUUCAUUAAGAUUAGCUACCAUAUGUACAUUCUCCAGAAACAUUCCAAAUAUCCAUGUACAUGAGAAACGGCCUAAUCCUGAGAAAUGGCGUGGAGCGGAACUUCAGGUUACUAUAGAAGGCAAUUGGACAACUUAUCGCGUGAGUGCAGCCUUGGCCUAAGUUACCUCACCUUUGAUUCAGAGAGUGUACAGUUACCCGACAACUUUUGCUGCAAUGUGUAAUUGUCGCACAUCUGGAUCUGUCAAGGAUAUGUGGUUGGAUUGGCUUUCAACAUAAGAUUCAUUGAAGGAUGGCGUGCGAUUUUCUCUUCAGCUGUUCCGAAGAUUGCUUAAAGACAUUCCAGUGUUUCCAUCGGUCAUGGUGAAGGUUGGGAGAUGUAAGGAAGUGUGGACUGACAAAAAUAAUGUCCAAACUGCAUCUCUUGUUUUUCACGAAAAUGCUGGGUUGGAUACAGGCGAAGAUAAUAAACUACUUGCGGCAGAUGGCUGUAAUUACACCUUACGCACAAUUCAACUUUUCUUAUAUUGGACCAAUACCAGAGUGAGUUUUGUGUUUCUUUUGCACAGGGUAUCUGAUAUUUUUAUAAAUUUAUGACUGCGUCUGCCUCGUGCCCACGCUUCUGCCCCCGGUGGACUUCUAAGUUUUGUUUUUGCUCUAUUUCUAGGAAGAAUUUGGCCAUUCGGUUUGCGAGGCGAACAGAUGUAAUGCCUCCUGUGCCAGAGGAAACCAAGCAUCACCCUUCAGCUGUAGAUCUGCUGCUUAUCAAAAGACUUAUUGCAGAAUCAAAAGAAAUACACCUCCAAGCUUUUCUGCAGAAGGAAUUUGUUUCCAUUAAUAAAGCACAUGCCGAACGACUUAUUGGUACGUAAUACUGUAUGGUUUUUUACUUUGACUUUUGAAUAAAAGGACAACUAUUCCAAGAUUAUCCCAUGAUUUGAAUGUUCGCAAGAUAAGUGGGUCCUGUCCCUUACAUAUUCUGUAAGCUGCACCUGAAGAUCAAUUCAUUUCAUACUGAUCUGGCCUGUAGGUGAAAUGGGCCCUGAGUUUCAACCUAAGAUGCUAGUGAAAUCACUCAGCGAUGAGCAGAUUGUUCGUCUUCACCAGUUAUUCAGACAAGCCAAAUUUGAUGAUCCGAGUGGACAGGUAAUACUAGGACUUGUGGGGUUACCUAUCUUAAACUCAGUUUGUUCCAGAAAGUUUAGAUAGUUGGAGGAAAUUUGAGAAUUUCUUCAGUGGAUGCUUGUUGACAACGCUUCGGUGCAGUGCCUCAGCCCUGCUGGAGAAUACAAUCUACGCCUUGGUAUCAUGAAAGAGCUGAAUCCAGACCUCGUUGCUACUUAUGAGGGCAGGUGAGUUAACUGCAAACACAGAUGAUGCAUACAAGCUUGAUAAUUGGAUUUGGAUGUUCUGUUUUAAUUAUUUAGUGUGCAUUGCUACUCAGAAUUCAGCUGAUUCUGACCAUCUGUCAUAUGGCUUAUUGAGGGAGCAAGCAAAGACUAGACUUGGGCUUCAUAACGUAGUUCCACCCUUAGGUUGACCAAGUCCAAUGACUUCUAGUUCGUUUUCCAAGUAUGCUUCGAAAAGAUGCAAUGUACAGCCUUCCAAUUGCCGCAAAUUAUGCAAGCAAUGGUCUGCAAAUUUUUCCAAUGAUCGAAAAGAAUCCUCUGGCUGCAGUGCUCAAGUCUUUGAGGGACAUCCAUUUAUAGUGGAGGCUGGGGUUAGUCUUGGCGGUAAAGAUGUGAAGCCUGUAAGCGCUCUCUCUCGCACCGCAACACCUCCCCCCCCCCCCCCGACCACGCUCUCUUUCUCUCCCUUAGUUAGUUCUACUGAUGCAACUAUUUCCUUGUCGUGGUUUCCCAUACUUUAUUUGUUUAGUUAGCUAAAAAACUGGAUGAUGGGAUCAUACCAAGUUUGCAUUUCUUGGAUUUGGAGUAAUAUUUAACUUAGCGGCCUUCCAACAUUUGCUGCUGCAGCAUCUACUUUACACACUAAUCCAUCGGUCCUCUAGGGGCUAAACAAUUCUUUCUAUGCUUGUGCCAUAUUUUAAGCUUCAUAUUCGUAUCAAGUAUUUUUUUCAUGUUUUUUAAGUGGUUAGCCACCGCAGAUAAGACUCUUUCCAAUUUGAAUCUGGGCAGUGAGUCCUGUGCCAGACCAAUGAACUUUAUAUUUGUUUUGUCGGGUGUUUGAUGAUUUGUAAUAUUUUGACGGGGGUUCAGGGCAUCAAUAUUUUUCGCUUUGCCAAUCGUAUCCCUCUACUAUUUGAGCAAGGGGGAGAUGUUGUCACACGUACCGCCAUGAAACGCAUCAAGUAAGAACCUUAACCUUCAUAGGGCAAAGGCCAUUAUAUCCAAUUUUUCAUUUUCGUUGUGAAUUUAAUUUUAAGUUGUCUUGUAGCUGGGGCUCGUAUAAAAUCAAUCAACAACAAGACAAGAUUGGUGUAUUUGUGAGCAUUGUGAGCACCAAAAUUCCGUUCAAGGGCACUGGCAAAGAGUACAUUGGUGAUGAUAUAUCUGAAAUUGCAGCAGCGGUUAAGGUGACUCUAGAUUCCGUCUCAUUUGUUUUUCAUGCACAGUACAUAAUUGCAAAAUAAGACCUUGAGUUUAAUACGUUACCCCAAAAAAUGAAUGCUUUAUGCACUUCGAACCGCCAAAUCCUUCUUGGUGUGCAGCAUGAUGCGCUUUUUAUCUUAUAAAGGAAUAAGGGUUUUCCAGUUUCAUUUCUCAUCUUUGUCUACUGUCAACUAUUGAGACACUGAAAUGCUGAGACAUUUAUAUUACUCUGCAAUUGAAUUGGCAGUCAUCACUUCAAAAUUGCUGCAUUCAGCUGAAAGCCAAAAUAGUUCGACAGCAGCAAGCUAAAGAAAGGCAGCAACGGAAGCGGAAUCUCUCAAAGUAAAUAUUUUGCUGUUAGCAACGAAUUUAUGAUCAUUGGAAAUUCUAGUCCUAUGUUGCAGUUACUUCUUAAGUGUUUCUAUCCUUAUUAUCCAGUUUUGAAUGUCGUAUUUGUGAUUACGCUAGAAAUGCAUCUGUAUGUAUUUACAUGCAAGUUUGCAAUCCUUGCAGGUACAUUCCAGAUGUUUCGCGCGCAAUUUAUGAUGUAUUGCAACUUAUGGCGGGACCAGCGGCCAAGAGGCAGAAGUUUGGUUUUGAAUAUCAAGAUAUGCUUGAGAAAGUUGCUAAGCGUGAAAUCACAGAAGCCACAUUGAAGCAAAAGCUUACACAGCAUGUUCAACAGGUUCAAACCUUUUUCUUUCUUUCCUCCUCCUUUUUUGUUUUUUUGUUUGUUUGUUUUGUUAGCGUUAUGUAAAAAUAUAUAUAUAUUCUUAUUUUAUUUUACUUAAUUUUAUUUAGAGGUUCUCUAUUUGUUCUUAGAAACUCGAAUGAAAUGAUUUGAUGAAGUGUGUCAUGAAGUGUGGUUUAGAGUUGAGUGCUUGGGUCGUAUUCUUUCACUCUGGUAACCAAUGUGGACCUAACUUGAGCCCAAUGGCCCUAUUUGAUACCCAUCACCCAUGCUCAACCAACUAUUAUCAUUAUUAUUAUUAUUAUUAUUAUUCUUUAUUUAAUUAUUUUCUUUUAGUAGUUUCUUCUAUGGCAGCUGAGGAGUCGUUGCUUAGCGUAUGUUAUAUAUUAACGGUCAUCUCUUUGACAUUCGACUCUCAUUUUGUAGGUUGACUCGGAGAUGGCUCUAGAAUUUGCUACCCAGAGUGGCAUGGUUGAUACUGCUCGAGAGAAUGUCUAUCUGACGGCUUUAGAUGCCAAGAGGGAAUUUGCAGUAGAAUUUCACAAUUCAGUUGGCGUAUUUAAACUAUUUACAGGAUUAUAAUGCAAUAUUAAUUCGAAGUUAUACUGUGAUCCCAUCACAAACUGUAGGGAUUUCACAAUCUUCUGAUGGAGAAUGCAAGAAGUCUUGUAGGCAAAGGAUAUGAAUUGUUAAUGUGUUGUGAAGAGAACAAGCAUGUAAGUUAUCUAUAUUCAGAUUCAUUUCUAUGAAUAAAAAUAAGACUAACAUUGAAUUAUUUUAACACAUUGUUGUCAAGAUUUUGAUCCUCUGUCUGAAGAAAUAUUUAUUUAUUCAAACAAUGUGAAAAAGUUAUACAUGAAUGGUUGAUGAUAGUUAAAAAAUGUAAAGGUUGCACAUAAAAUUGUAACAAUAUACUUUAUUUUGUUUUGUUUGUUUGUGCACGUAUACCUGUCAUGUACAUUGAAAGGCUUUAGAUUCAUGAAUGUGCGGUACAUUGUAAUUUUACAUGAUUGUUAUUAUGUUGCCAAUUUUGAAAUUCAAGACCAAUUUAAAAAUAUACUUAAAAUUUUAAUUACUACAUAAAUUUGAAAUCUAAAGCUGAAAUAAUUAUACUAAAAAAUAUUUUAAAUUUCAUAAAAUAUUAAAUAAUAACAUUUCGAAAAUUGAUAAGUAUUUAUGUUAACAUUCAAGUUAAAAAAAUGAAAUUUUUUUAUCAUUAUAUUUCAACUAGAUAAUGUUAUUUUUUGUAUAAGGUCAAACAAAAAAUAAGUUGAUUCCUUACAUUGUGCCAUGUGUGUUCUUAUUGAAUAUCUCUAUUUUUUUAAAUAACAAAAAUUGCUACUUCACCAAAAGUAAUAUAGCUAGAAAUUAACAAAUAAGAUUUAACUUGUUUUUCAUGUUUUAUGAUUUUUUAAAAAUUCAGUUAAUAAAAAAAACAAUGAUCUAAAAAUGACAUUAAACAAACUACUGCUGUUACAAUAAUAAUAACAAAGUUUUAAAUUCUUAUAAUGAUAAUAAAAAUUAAAAUAUAAUGAUGAUUUAAAAAACGUUUCUCUAAGAAUAAAAUACCCAAUAAGACAAUAAAACACAAGUUAAUUUCCUUCAAAAAUGUCUCAUUCUAUGAAAACAGCAAAAAGUUGCUCUUCUUUUUAGUAGAGUCUACAGGAAAAAGAAACUAAGAUUGGCCUCCUCUUCCAAUAUAAAGUAUAAUAUUUGUGAUAAUCCUUCAUUGCUAACCAUAGUAACAUUCUUUCUAUAAUGUCAACAUAGAUAGAAUGUUGUGAGAGUUGACUGGUCUACGUCAAGUCUUCUAUUUUUUGAGUUUCUCUCUUUCUUGUCACAGUACAAAUGACUCACUACUCCACCACCAUAUAAAACCCAUAAACAAAGGUUUUUGUUAUCCCAUCCACUUGGCACACAAAGAUUGAGUAGACAUGGCCCAUCAUAGUGGAUGAGUUCUAUGUGCCUUCUUCUCACUAUUUCUUCUACUCCUUAUUAUUUUAUUAUUAUUAUUAUUAUUUCUUCAAUCUUCUUCUUCUUCAUGUGCUUCUUCUCACUAUUUCUUCUACUCCUUAUUUUAUUAUUAUUAUUAUUAUUAUUAUUUCUUCAAUCUUCUUCUUCUUCUUCAUGUGCUUCUUUUAGAGGAGAGUUAAAAUAUCAAUAGAUUGGAAGCCAAACAUGACCCCACAUGGGCAGAUCACCAGACUUUGGAAGCCGAAUCUGAAGCUUUGCAAAAGCCACGAUGGCGAUGGAGAAAGGAGCAACAUGGACCCACAAGUCAAACCCACACGGCCACCAAGGACAACAACAAAGGGGAAAACCAAGGCUGUCAAAACCCAGGGCAAAGCAAAAUGCAAACCAAACCAAACCAAAAGGACGUGCAACAGCAAAAGAAAACCAGUAAGUAGCAUCAGUAGGAAGGGGACGCAACACACAGCUGAGCUUAGAAGCAACGCCGCAGCGCAACAACAGCGGCUCCCCUUUUGGUUUGGUGGGGUCCUUCUUCUAACUAGCUCAGGCAUGAAGGAGGGACAACUAUCCACUGCCCAUUGCCACGACAAGCUUUUCGAGAAUAAUAUGAACCGGGGAGCAACAAUAAAACAGGGAAAGUAAAGCACAACAGUAGCAAAAGUCGGUGGUGAUGGUGGAGGAGGAGGAGGAAAAGCUGCAGGCGAAUGGCUUUCGACCUCCACUGGUCUGCCUGCAGGGCUGCCAGUCAUUGGCGUUUACCUCCAAACGUGAUCGUCGAGGAGAUCUUACACGCUUACUCGGUUGACCUUCCUCUGACACGAGUCAAUGCGUCAGAGCCUCGCUAGAUUAGAGCAAACAAACCAAACUUUCAUAGGUGAGUGAGUGAGUUGGGGGGGGGGGGGGGGGGGGGGGUUUUUUUAAAUGUUUGACCUAGGAGACGCUCAAGUUUGAAAGGGAUGUGCAGGAAGAUUGAAAGUGCAGAAAAGAGAGUUGAAAGCGAGGGUGGGGAGCUGAGUGAAGCUCUCAAGGCUCUGCGGCCCCACAAUCCACUCUGGACUCCAUGCUGACGCGAUUUAUUUGUUUAUUUAUUUAUUAAAUAUUAUGACUAUACUACCCUUUGAGAUGAAGAUCUGGCUGUGUUCGAACUCUGGCAAUCGACACGUAGGUGCCGCUGGAAGUACCCAUUCAUGAUUAUUGCCUGGUGCGGAGAUUGGUCUUGGCUAAAGAUCCAUGGUGGAGAGGUCUGGAGAGACAAGUAUAUAAGGGCAAGUAGUAGUGGACCCAGCAGCGCGGAUCUGAUGCGAGCUGGAGUACAUUUGUAUUUUAGCGUCUAUGUAUUUGGGUGUAGUAUAAUGCUCGCUGCUUGGAAUCGUUGCUUUCGAAGUGGGAACAAUUCUGUUGUUGACUCAUCUUGUGACGACUAGUGUUGGGUUCCUCGUCAGGUCUGACCACCAUGGCGCGAUAUGUUGAGCUUGUGUUUCACGGUCUAAACUCAGCCGUCUCACACACACAAACACACACACACACACACAGACCAGAGAUGACUGACUCUUGUGCGAGUUCGAUUGCAAGUACAAUCCAUGUGCUGUUGCUAAAGAAUAUAGUGGAGCUUUAAUGCUGCAACCACACCUCCAUCAUAGUGGAUUUUGCUACCACUUUCGGUCAUAGUGUAGAGGAUGCUGCCUGUGAAAUGUGUACUCAACGUUGAUAUAGACAGUUCGAGGAUUCAAUGUUGAGACAGAAAACUGAUCAACGUCGGAAGUUCGAUUUGUAAAGUAGGUUGGAUAAGGCAUGGGAACCACAACUCUCCAUCGUGACGCCAGAGUGCAGCCGGCUAAGCAAAGACACAGGUCUUGUGCCUCAAGGCCCCGCCCCCUACUGCAGAGGUGAGACCCAAGUGUUAACGUGCAGAAAAACUCGAGCUCGGAAUUGCCAGCCUCAUUGCUGCUCUCACCUGCUAGCAUGGAUCCCGAGUCUCCAAAUCCUCGGGUAAAUCAUUCUCCCCAUUUUGCGACUGUUUUCGUACUCUUUGUCUGAUAUUGAUGCACACUAGUGUCUGACCUUAGGACAUUUGCAUCUACGAGUAUUCUACUUGGCAAAGCUAAUAGGGAUCUGAAUUUUGAGAGGAUCAUGGAAAUCAAGAUAGUAGAGGCAGCGCAGGAGUAAACCUUUGUGUCCAACCGGAAUUAUCCUACUUAGGACUGUUCGUUGGGGCCCGUUUUAGAUAAGCAGCAGUCAUAUUCUUCCACAAUUCUGGAAUCUCUUCCGUCACCUCUGCUUGGUUUUAUAGAGUAAUUUCCUUUCACAAAUGGACCUGGGAAAUUCAGUCCGUAGCAGCCAAUAUGAGAGAAUAUUGUGGUCCCAGUUUUCUAAGUUCUAGAGAGUGACUUGUGUUGCACAUCGCGACUCGAAAUCAUAGAAACCAGUGGAGUUCUGCAAUAAACUAGUACUCAUGCUGUAGUCAAGCAUGGAACCAGACGGUUUUUUUCUUUUCUCUUUUCAACUUCAAGUUUUCGUUGGGCUAUGGGCUAAUUUGCAAGUGGAAGCAUGUAGACGCAUGGUCGCUCGCAGUCGAUGGUAGCGGUACUGAUGCUGGCAUAUCAAAGCUUCGGCGUGGUGUAUGGGGAUUUGUGCGUGUCGCCGCUGUACGUCUUCCGCAGCACAUUUUCAGGUGACCUACGUUCGCACAUGACGGAGGGCGAGAUCUCUGGCGUGCUGUCUCUCAUCUUCUGGACCCUCACCUUGGUGCCUGUCAUCAAAUACGCCAUCAUCAUUCUCAACGCCGACGACAACGGCGAAGGCGGCACGUUCGCGCUGUAUUCAUUGCUGUGCCGACACGCCAAACUGAGCUUGAUUCUUAAUCGGCAGAAUGCAGAUUCGGAGCUCUUGACCCACAAUUUAGAGCAGCCGCCAGAGACGCCGCGCGGACAAACAAUCUGUAGGCUGCUGGAAAAACACGUAUUUCUCAGGAAUGGGCUAAUCAUCGUCGUAUUGCUGGGCAGCUGCAUGGUCAUCGGCAAUGGCAUUCUCACUCCUUCUAUUGCAGGUAUGGCUUUCCUUCACACUUCUUGCUAUUGCACAAAGCCUUCUCAAUCUCGUUCUUCACUGGUUUCGCCCCAGCUAUGAUGCUACUAUGAAAUUAAUUUACCCAUUUUUCACUAAAAAUUUAGGUUUCUAUCUGAACCAAUCAGAAUAUAUCUCACUUCGACUAUGGCGGAGGAAUCACUCAUGUUCAUGCUCGUCGUUGGUGCUAUUUUUUUGACAGUUUUGUCAGCAACUUCUGGAAUCUCGGUUGCGGCUCCUCAGUUACCACAGAGUGAGCACUUCUCUUCCUGCCGCCAGACCCAUUUCUAGAUUUUUUGUCAAAAAUCAUGGACUGAGAGUGUGUUCGAGAAACCUUUGAGGUGAGCGUUGUUGGUGUCUGAUGAAUGUCGACCUGUGGGUGAGUGUGGGUUGCAGGUGUGGCGGUGCUGGUGUCAUGCGGCAUCUUGGUGCUGCUGUUCGGACUGCAGCACCUUGGCACACACCGAAUCUCGUUUAUGUUCGCACCCAUAGUGCUAAUGUGGUUGUUUUGCAAUUGCGCCGUUGGGAUAUACAACCUCGUGACGUACAAUCCUCUCAUUAUUCACGCACUCUCCCCAUACUACAUCUACCACUUCUUCAAAGUAUCAGGAAGAGAUGGCUGGAUUUCUCUUGGGGGUGUUCUCCUUUGUAUCACAGGUGGACCAUCUAUCUCGAUUCCUUCGUGUGGUCCUUCCCACUUCUUGCAACCAACAUCUUCACAGUGUUUUCUACUCAGAUUACAUUCGCAACCUCUUUGACUUGGUUUCGCUUUUACCCUCCUUGGCAGGUUCGGAGGCAAUGUACGCCGACUUGGGUCAUUUUUCAAAAAGGUCUAUAAAGGUCUAUCUAGCAACCAUCAAUCACAGCUCCCUCACAGACAUGAUGAUUUGUUGAGAAUUGCUCUGCUUCUGAUUGUAACAUGAGAAGGGAACUUGUUUUGGUGUUUUGGAGUCUCUAAACCGCUGGCAGUGAUGCAGACUGCCUUCACAUGCAUCGUGUAUCCUUGCCUAGUGCUCGGGUACAUGGGCCAGGCCGCUUAUCUAUCCAAAAACCUCGCGGAUGUUGAUCACGGGUUUUUUCAUUCCAUUCCUGGUGAGAUUUUAAGACGAUUUCUGAGCAAAUAUUAUUUCAUCUUGUCGCACUUUCCUAGUUUCAUUACAAUUCUAGAUUUCAGGUUGGGUUCAGCUGGCUCAGAGAACGAAUUCAUCCUCAUUCCAUGGAGUUUGAAUGCUUUGUGCAGGACCUGUAUUCUGGCCUGUCUUCAUCGUAGGUAUUUCUUCUCUCUCAACCUGAGUCUUUUGCAUGAUUUUCUUCUCAUGUUUGCUGAUAUGACGUAUAAGCCUUCUCCAUUCUCCAUGUUUUAUACGUUGGCUGACAUCAAUCGCAGCGAUGUUGGUGUCGAUCGUUGGGAGCCAAGGCGCCGUUACUGCGACGUUCUCCAUAAUCAAGCAGUGCCAGUCACUAGGAUUUGUCCCUUGGGUGAAAGUGGUGCACACAUCACGUACAAUCCAUGGACAGAUUUACAUUCCAGAAAUCAACUGGAUCAUGUUUGUCAUAAGCUUGAGUAUCACAGUCGGGUUCCAAAGCCCAGUUGAAAUCGGCAACGCUUACGGUAAGCUUGCACGCAAAACUAAUGAGCUCACUAGCCUUUCACUCAGCAUCUCUCCUCAUCUUGGAAUGCUUUGCAAUAGUUCAGAAGCAUCUGCUUCUUGUCUCAGUUACUUACAUAGAAGUGCUUUCUCUGGUUGAUUGUGGCUGCAGGUAUUUCGGUGAUUUGCGUGAUGCUGGCCACAACUCUUUUGAUGACCUUUGUCAUAUACGUUGUGUGGCAGCAUAGCAUCUUCACGGCCGGUAUCUUCUUCCUGGUUUUCACCUUGGUUGAGGCAGUCUACUUGUCGUCGGCACUCUUCAAAGUGAAGCAGGGAGGUUGGGUGGCGCUGGUGCUGGCCGGGGUGAUCAUGUCCAUCAUGUAUGUGUGGCACUACGGCACCAUCAAGAACUACGAAUUCGACCUCCAGAAUAAGGUGUCCAUGAAAUGGUUGCUCACUCUCGGUCCAGGCCUUGGGAUUGUCCGUGUUCCUGGCAUCGGGCUGAUCUACACAGAGCUUCUUACCGGUGUGCCGGCCAUCUUCUCUCACUUUGUCACUAAUCUCCCAGCCUUCCACCAAAUUCUGGUUUUCGUUUGCAUAAAGUCUGCGCCGGUUCCCUUUGUCCCUCCCGACGAGCGCUACCUGGUUGGGCGCGUCGGUUGUAGAGAUUAUCGUAUGUACAGGUGAAACACUCGCCCAUUCUUUGUCGUUUCUUAUUCUCAACCCACGACUCAAGCUUGUCAACCCAAGACACCCAGUUAUACAAUACCCUCACCUGAUGCUUAGAACUAACAGCAACUGUGUCCUUUGUUAGGAACAUGCAAAAAGCUCUUUCUAAAACGAAGAUUAACCGUUUCUACUGGUGGCAGAUACGUGGUUCGGUCUGGAUACAAGGACACAUACACAAACGACGAAAGCGAGUUUGAAAGCCAGCUCAUCUACAACCUUGCUGAGUUCAUCCGAACCGAGAGUGCAGCCCCAUGGGCGCAAUCCAGGGGUGAAAUGCCACAGGACAGCCGCAUGACAGUCAUGGGUGCUCUAGGCAGCACGCGAUCAGUCGCAGAGACCGCCUGGAGCACAGACAUGCCAGCCAACGCUGCGGACAGCUUGGAGGUAAGCAACCAUAGUCAAAGUGUGUCAAUUCCAUGCAACCCGAAAUUCUACCCUAAACCAUGCAACCAAACUAACACUAGCAUACUAAUCACCGUCGUAGAUUCUGAUCACCAUGGUCGGAUGCAGUCCUCAGACGGCAUCACCUCGCCGAAAAGGCAUGUGCACUUCAACCUGCCCAAGCCCAGCGACAACCACGUGAAUGCUGAGGUGCGGAAGGAGCUAGCAGACCUGGCUGAUGCCAAGGAGGCCGGCAUCGCGUAUGUGAUGGGCCAUUCUUACGUGAGGGCUAAGCCUUCGUCCUCGUGGCUGAAGAAGUUCGCCAUCAAUUUUGUCUACAGCUUUCUGCGCAGGAACUGUCGGGAGCCCGCGGUGGCGCUGAACAUCCCGCACACAAGCCUCAUUCAGGUUGGCAUGGUUUACUAUGUGUAAAAUGAAUGAACACACACACACACGUAUAUGUAUAUAUAUAUAUAUAUAUAUAUAUUCAUACACACACAUACAGUCGAUCAAUCAAACAAUCAAACGACCCAGUUCACGGCAAUCUGAGCAGCAAUUUCUAGGGCAAGAGUCCGGCUACCGACACAGUCGGUGUGAAGCAGCUCCGAAGGACAUCAUGUAUUGUUGUGAUAUGAAAAUGAAUGUUAAGUUUUGGAGCAUUUCGUGGAGAAUGCUUUUCUUGCUCUGCAAGUAUGGUGGGAUCGUGCCAAUGGCCAUGUUGUGUAGUUGAUGAAAUGUUUGUUCAGUUCUGCAAAAGUAGAUAUUUGGGUAACAAUUUGAGUGUUCUGUUCAUAGAUUAUGCUAGUGUAUGGAAACAAACUUAAUGCUCUGAUUUUCUAAACAAAUAAAAAAAUUAAUUUUUAAUAUUUGGAUUCUUUCAGACCUCAGGAACGAAAUUCUAUAAAUUCGAAUUGUCACAGUUGUUGUAAUAUAUAUAUAUAUAUAUAUAUAUAUAUAUGUAUAUUUAUAUUUAUAUUAAUUCACUUAAUUAGAAAUUAGAAAUAUGUACUCUUUGGUUUUUUAAAAGUAUGUUUUCUCUCGAAAUGAUUGAAGUCUUUUGCAGCAAAUUGAUUAUUACAUUAUCAAAAAUAGAACAAAUAUUCCAAAAAACUUGUGUUGAAAAAAAAAAGAAAAAAGAAAAAAAAAGAUCGUUACCAAUCAAUUCAAAAACAUCAAUAAAAUUUCAUAUUUUACCCGAGAAAUACUCAAUUAAGAUAAAUGUGAAGAGUUUUUUUUAACUUUUUGAUUAUUAUUCAAGUUAAUGUAAAUUGUAUUUAAGCCAAAAAAACAGAUAAAAAGAGAGAAAGCAAAAAGUAAAACACAUUAUCUGUUGUGUACAUUAAGCAACAUUGACAACCCAUUUCUUAAGAAGUUUUGUGAACCUCUUUUUAAAAUAUAGAUUAGACUGUUAUUUCAUAUCCAUUGCACCAAUUACUUUGAUAAAAAGUUUUAAAAGAAGGAUUUGUUUUUUUUUUAAAGUUGGUCAGAAUAUGCAUUUUUGGAGUUUUCAACAAUCUUUUGAGUGGCAUUGAUUUGAUUAGUCCGUGACAUUUCCAAUCUUUUAUCCCAAGUUGGCCAAUAAUCUUCUACUUUUGACUCUUUACUUCCUAAAUCCGUAAACUCUUUUGGGUUGUUCCACAAUAGAGGAUUGUAUCCGGGAAAUGAAGGAAGAGGACUUGGUGGAAGGUUUAAUUUUCCCUUAUUCAUUGUUUCUACCAAACAAUCUUCUAUGUAUUUUAGUUCUCUUAAUUGUAACCUAUAGCAUUUAUAGAGCCAAUCAGUUUUGUUAAUCACAAAUUUAUAAGAAACAACUAUGCAUUUUAAUGAAAAUGGAGCUAAGAAUGUUUUUAAAUGCAUAGCCUCUAAUUGUUCUUUGUAUGGUUGUUUUAAAAGUGGGUAAAAAGAUGAGGGUUGAAGAACUAAUUUUUGUUGCUGUCGUAGAGAAUUGUAACCAGAUGUUCGGAGAUUUUGGCCCUCCAUAUCACAAUUUCGAAUUGAGUUUUAUCUUUUUUAUGAGUUAUAAUUUUUUUAGAAUUAAAUCGCUUUUGAAAAUAUUAAAUGAUGAAUAUAUCAAGGGUAAAAAAUAUGUAAGUUUCACAAAGCUUGUAGAUAAAUACAAAUAAGAUGAUGUGAUUGAAAAUAAAUCAAGGUUUGUUAAUAGAAAAACAUAAAUAAAUAAAAUAGCUACCAUUUGUAGAACUUUGUUGAGUAAUAAAAAAAUUAUUUAAUCCACAUCAAAUCUUUAAAAUAUUACAAUUGAUAAUAUUAAGCUUGGAUAUUCUUAAUCUUUUAUAAAUACAAAUUGAACUCGAGUAAAACUUUAAAAAUUAAAACAUGAGUAAAAUUAUCAAUAUACACAUUGAAUGGCCUAACACUUGAAUGGCAAAAGAAAUGUUUAAUCAUAUGUAUUGAUAGUUAUAGAACACUUUGGCUAGGGACACGUCUCUUCAUAAUAAGCACUUCAAUAACUCGUGUAAGUUUCCAAUAAACUAACCAAUUUUUUAAAGACAAUCAAAAUCUGGCUAAACAAAGCCUUUAUUUGAUUGACGAGGACAAUGGAAAUAUGGGGCUGGGGCACUGACACUUUAAGCACAAUUGCCGCACCCCAGAAUGAAAAUAAUUAUAUAUAUAUAUAUAUUCAGUGAAAAAGGGUUUAUCGGUACUUUCAAUUUUUGAACAAAGACCUUUCUAAAUGAAAUGCAUCCAAUUACAAAUAAAUAAAUAAAAUUUAAUGUUUACAAAAUUAGAAGUAACAUCAGAGUUGUAUGAUAUGAAAAAUAACAUUAAAUAUGAAAUUCUUAGUAACGCAUAAAAACAUAUGUAAAAUUUGAGGAUACAGAUUAUAAUAUAUCUUGUUAUAUAAAUUACACCAUUACUUUUGGUAAAAGAUAUGAAAUCAAAAACAACAUUACAGUCAGAAAUUAACUGUCCCUGAAUAAAACCCCUCCAAUUUUUUCAUUCAUACAAUAUUCAUUUAAUUAUAUUUUUUCAAGUUUUUCAAGAAUUCAGUAAUUCAAAUUUUCAUUACAGUACCUUCAAUUUUUGUUCAGUUUCCACUACUAUCUCUUAUGAAAGAAAGUUGUGUUGAUUCUAGACUGCAUCAUAUAUUUGUUUUCUUGACAAUUUCAAAUUCGCCUGUAUAAAUGCGAAUUGGAUGACUUUUUUUUUUUUUUUUUUUCAUGAUAUGAUAAUAAAUCUUAUCAAAUAUUAAAUUUUUUGACUAGAAUAAGUUAAGCUGCAAAUUUCUUAAUUAGAAAUUAUUAAACUAACAUUCACAAUAGAAUUUGGUACUUUGAGAAAUGAAUAUCAUUGGUUUUUUUUUUUUUUUAUCUCAAAACAAUAAUUAAAUAGCAUGGAUGUUUUAGAAUCGGAUAUAACUACAUAAACUAUAUAAUCUUUUACUUAUGUAUCAAAGACCAAACCUGUAAUGAAGAUUCUUGAGAGAGUAAUCAGAUAUCAUUGUUAACAUGUAGGACAUAAUUUCUGUGGUUACUGGACUCAUUCGCAACUUGAACAUGGUGAAGCAAAUUCGACAGGGCCACUUCAAGCAAGUGAAGGUUUCUGAGAAGGUGCAGAAUAUGCAGAUGCUGGUGAAUAAUUGUCACAACCUUGGGAUCAUUAGAAAGCAAAUGGUUAAGAACAUUGCGGGGUAGCAACCCACUGUCGAAGAAAAUGAAUCCCAAUGAUCAAAUUUAUGAAGAAACCCAAUUUCACCCGUCCACCACCUUCUGGUGCCUUUCAUACACAUUCUACACUGAUCAAGUAACCAUAACACAAUUCCCAAAAAAACACAAAAAGAACUUAGUAAUCACAAUUCAAUAAAACCAGAAAGGGAGGGAGAUAGGGUGAGCACGAGAGAGAGAGAGAGAGAGAGAGAGAGAGACACAAAGGAGAUGAAGAAGACGAAGAAGAAUCAUCAAUGCACCACUAUAAGCAAGUUCAUGGACAACAUUUUCAGAGACGCACUUAAUCCUCUUCUGCAGCUUACUCAUCUUGUUGCUCAAGAAGCCCUUUUUAAAUACCACAAAGUAGAAAUCACACAAGAAUAGCAGUGCAUAACAUUACCACUCAAAGCGGUCGCAUUUACAUAUGAAGACAAACGGAUACAUGAUCUUGACUGCAGUAAGAUGCUUCUGAUUACGAAGUUGAAGGCAUCGAAUGGACACUUGGGAGAGAGCACCCACAUCCACGCAAAUCAAGCAGAGGUCAUUUGAGCGGCUUCCAAUUUAAACGUCACCAAUUGCGGACAUAUUCUUAGGUUCGGCGCUACCAAUCGCACCGUCAACAUAACAUAUUAUCCAGCGAAAGCAUGAGCCAGUCGUGUCUAUUCAGUAUGAGUUUUGGAAGUUUGUGGGUAGUGGAGCUUGAUCAUUUUUUAGGAUUUGCUCCCUUAGUUUUUGCAGUGAUUCAAAGUGUGGGGUACAAAGUUAUCCCAGUGUGGCUUUAUUGCGGCGCGUAACUUCAACUAUAUAUAACCUUGUGUCAUCUAAUAAAAUUUAGGUCAAUGUGUACAUAUUAGCAACAGGUUUGCAGGUAACUCUAUGUUCUAUCCUUAUCUAUCUCUCUCUCUCUCUCUCUCUCUCUCUUCCGACAUGUGUGCUCACAUAAAAAUUGAGAAUGUAGAUCAUAGCAAGUGAAUAAUCGGGUGUUACUGCCUUCAGUUUUCAUGUAUUGAUGGGAUUCAGCUGUGUUCCAUGUAUUGCAGUCUGUUCCUUGAUAUUCCAGACACUGGAGUGGAAGUAGACAGUGUCUAAAGCUUUUGGUUCUGUAACAUUUGAUUAUUGAAUAUUGAUUAAAAUAGAGUACAUCAUAGUGACAAGUUUGCUACGUGACAUUCUAUGUAAUGAAUCAUUUUCGCAGUGGUUUCAAGCCACAUUAAAAGUUGUUGGAUUGUUUGAACUUCUAAAAUGUUGAGAAUUUAAUAAUCUAUUCGCCAUUGUUGCUGCUUGUGAUGAGACAGCAAACUCUAAUGGCAGUUUGUGCUUUCACUUGAAUUCAGGGGAAAUCACCAAGUUUGUCACAUUAUUCAGCCAGAAAGCAUUGUACUCCAACUCCACCUGUACGCAACCACUUUAAAAUAGGCUGGCAAGUGGUACAUUUCAUUUGCUUGAAGUGAUGAGUGCGAUUCAUAAUGCAAACAAGUACUCAUGCUCCUCAACUGUGAGUACAAAUAACCAGAGGAAGUAUACAUUGGUAAAGUCAUUUAACGAAAAAGAUAUCACAACCGCAACAUAGAAGAGAUGAAAGCUUGAACCUCAGAAGCUGUGUGAGAAAGGGAGCGACCUUGCAGUGUCCAAGUGAGUAGUCCUUCACAAGUACGAAGGAACCAUAAUUUGUGCUAAAUAUAACAACUACCAGAGUUUAAGCUCCAAACCAUCCUUCUGUAGGAAUCCAAACAACCCAUUCCAGAUUAUUAUUAUUGAAAAAAGGUGCAAAAGAAACACAUAUAACAAGUAUGUAUUUUAGAUCUCAAUAGUUUUUGUCACAACUAGACACCAGAUCCAAAAAUCUGUGUGCAUUGAAUACAUAAGUUCCAACUAGUACAUGAAUCCAUUACUGGAUAUUACAGAAUCAUUUCAAUAUCAGCUAAUUCACAUGUUUUUGCUCUCAGCCACACUAGUACAACGACAAAUGCAGACACCACCUAAGAACAGUUCCACGGAUGAACGUAUAGUACCUCAAAAAAUAUAUCUCACUUUACAAAAUCAAAAAUGAUAAUCUCUCAUAUCUAAUAGGGGAAUUACACAUUCGAUUAAAUGAAUUAUAUAUAUAUAUAUAUAUAUAUAGCAACGCACAUUAGAGAAGACUGCCCACACCUUAGCAUGGACUCAAGCAUCGAUAGGGUAAAUUAUGAAGUCCAAGUAAGCAUUGAAAGUAAAAUAAAAAACUAAGAACCAGAUUAGAAUAUCAAAACAUCCAUAUUGAAACUCUAAGCAUAUGCAGUAUCAAACAUUAAAAUAUUAAAUUAUAAAAUUAGUAAGAUAUUCAAUAGAUGGACAUUAAACUUUGAAAUAAACUCUAAAAUCAAAAAUUUGUCCAAUAAUUAAUUAGAAAAAAUUUUAAAUAUGUGUCACAAUAAUCAAGAUCAAUAUGAGAUAAUUGUGUUUUUAUAUGCUGAAAAUAUAAAAAAUAAAAAAUAAAAAUGUACUUUGAAAUUUGAAACGGUGAAACUUGGAAAACUCUUUCUCACAGUAAAAUAUUUUCUAAAUAAAAUUAAUAAGAUUUUGAUAGUAGAUAAAAAAAAUACAUGAAAUAUGUUAUGAAAUGAAGAAAAAAAAAAAAAAAAAAAAAAAAAAAAAAAAUUGCACACAAACACUUCUUACUUUCACAUAGAUACUUGAUCUGUAUUCAUCACGUAUUUGUUCUAUAAUCUCCAAGGAAAAAUGUAAAUUGUUGAAAUUCAAAAUAUUUUUCCAUCAUGUGUUCUAUCUGUUAUUUGCUACCUGACAUUUUAAGAAAUGUUACGUUGUGAUAGAAGUUUAACCAUUUUUGUUUUUCCACAAGUUGUGCAGCUGCUCAAACGUGGCAUUGAAUGCUGACGCAUCAUAUCAAUCAAUCUUUUCAAUUUCUUUUCAGUGCGACAGCCGUGUUCGUUUACGAAAAUAUUUGUAGAUAAGUUUCAGGUUAAACAUGCACUAUAAAUAAGCACAUCAGAAAGCCAGAAACAUAACCCAGCAUCAUAUUCUCCCACGUGACGCUCGUUUUCGACACAUCAAUUUUUAAAUAGCGUUCUUCACUCUCUACACCUUUUCAAACAGUACACCCACAGUUCAUAAGUGAAAAAACGCAAAAAGAGGAGUGUGACGAUCACACAGAUUUAUCGUUGAUGGGUUUAAGCAACAGUGUCAUUUGACUUCGCCAAGACGCACGCCUUCAGGGUUCUUAAAGCAUAAUAUGUCAGUGACUGGCUCAUCAGACAAGCAGAAGGCUGCUGGAUCUAGCAGAGGCGGAAAGAAUUCGCUCCGUGCUACAACCCUUCGCAGCUAUAUUCGGUCUUGUAGAGUUAAUUCCGCUACACUUGGUCGCUAUUUUGGAAUAGUCAAAAGAUAUUAUAUUCUCCAGGUACAAUCUAAAUGAAGAAAUAUCCAUUAGAUUGCACAUUCAUCACAUAUAGACUUUCGACUCUUCCACAACGAAAAUAUGUACUCUUCACCGGUGAAGAAUCUGUCAUGUGUAAAAUGAUUUGUCACACCCAGUAAGUAUUUUGCUUUGCAAUUUAGGGCCAUACCAACUUUCCAAAUAACACUUUGCCAUUUAGUCAGGAAAAAAACUGAGAAGGUUCAAACACAGUGAUAUGCACAAAAAAUACACAUCUUGAUCAGAGAAUUCAGAAUAUAAAAAUGCACAUAAAACUCAUCCACCACAUACAAUUUUGAGAUCAGUAAUGGUGGACCUCAUCCCACCACUAUUCAAUCCUGCACACCCGGCUUCGCCGACUGCACCCCAACUCUCCAUUCCAAUUACCAUACAAUAUCCAGCGUCAUCAAAAAUCAUCAACCUUCUGUUCAUCAUGCAGUUGCCAUACACCACCUACUCCCUACCUCCCCCUUCACCCCCACAUUCCCAUUCCCGCUCUCUAUCUCCCUCCCCGAUCACACCAUCACCCGAUCACACCAUCACAGCCACCGCCAACAGAAAAGAAUAUUGUCCGUGCUUUCCCUUUCCCACCGCACCGCACGCUACACACAGGGGGGAGCUCAUAUCACCCCGUCCCCUCAUCAUAUCCCUACAUCAUCCCACUCCCAAUCCCACUCCCACUCCCUCUACGCCUCCGUCUUCUCCCACUUCAGCGGCUUCACCACCUCCCACGUGAAGUCCGGGUCGUUCCUCCCGAAGUGCCCGUACGCCGCCGUCUUCUGGAACCUCCUGUUCCCGCCUCGCUUCAAGUCCAAGUUGAUGCACAUCAUCCCCGGCCUGAAGUCGAAGUUCUCCUUCACCAGCUUCAAUAUCUCCGAGUCGUGAAUCUUCCCCGUCCCGUAUGUGUCCACGAACACCGACAGCGGCUCCGGCACCCCGAUCGCGUACGACACCUGCACGAUGCACCGCCGAGCCAGCCCCGCCGCCACGAUGCUCUUCGCCGCCUGCCGCACAAUGUACGCCCCGCUCCUGUCCACCUUCGUCGGGUCCUUCCCCGAAAAUGCGCCUCCUCCGUGCGCUCCCCACCCCCCGUACGUGUCGAUGAUAAUCUUCCUCCCCGUCAGCCCCGCGUCCCCGUGCGGCCCCCCGAUCACGAACCGCCCCGACGGGUUCAGGUGGAAAAUCGUGUUCUCGUCCAUGUACUUCUCCGGAAUCACAGGCUUUAUCACAUACUGCUUCAGGUCCGCCGCGAUCUGGUCGUUCGUCACCGUCUCGUCGUGCUGCGUCGAUAUCAGCACCGUGUGCACCCUCAACGGCACCAUCGCACCCCCCUCGUUCUUGUACUCCACCGUCACCUGCGUCUUCCCGUCCGGCCGCAGCCACGCGCACGUCCCGUUCUUCCGCACCUCCGUCAGCUUCGCGCCCAGCUUCGUCGCCAGCACGUGCGUCAGUGGCAUCAGCUCCUCCGUCUCGUCCGUCGCAUACCCGAACAUGUGUCCUUGGUCGCCCGCGCCGAUCUCCUCUGGCUUCUUCGUGAAGUGCCCGUGCACACCCUGGGCAAUGUCCGGGCUCUGCGCCUCCAAGUUCAUCAGCACCUUGCACUUGUCUGCAUCCAGUCCCACAUCGUCCGACGUGAACCCAAUCUCGCGGCAUGUGUCGCGCACGAUCUUCUCGUAGUCCACCACCGCCUUCGUCGUGAUCUCUCCGAACACCAUCACCAUGUUCGUCUUCGUGCACGUCUCGCAAGCCACCUUGCUGUCAGGGUCCUGCUCCAGGCACGCAUCCAGGACGGCGUCCGACACCUGGUCGCACAGCUUGUCGGGGUGACCCUCGUUCACGGAUUCGGAGGUGAAAAGAAAUGUCUCCAUCUGACCAGGCAAACCACAUCGCAUGCAAGUUCUUCAGGCCGAGAGUUUGGCUAAGGGGCUGCCCCAAUAGAAACUGGAGUAAAAUGUCCCUUCAACGCAAUGUCUAUUUAGAGUCGUACAUUUGUACUAUCAUCUUUGUCGCAUCAAGUGCUUGCCAACUAACACCCGGUGGGGUUGGUUUUUCCAAACCCCUGACAUGCUUCGGACAGAUAUUUUGAAGGCCAUAAUCUACCAGAGUUUGCACUUCCAAGUCGUUUUAAAAAAAUACAUCUCUAAAUCAAGCAUAGAGACUCAGGUGUGCAGUAAGGCACGAUCGGCUUCCGGAGUACGGAAGUUGGGAAGGACGAAAGAGGAAGACCACAAAAACCUCUCAAACAGGUAACAUUCUAGCAAUGGUACAAAAAGACACUCAUCCACAAGAAAACAACAAUGGCAUGUAAAGAAAACGUAACAAACAUAAAGGACCUCAGUUACACUAGUUAUUUCACUCACUACAAACCCCGCUGCACUCAAGUCCUGAAAGCGCAUUUUCCUUACUCGUCCUCCCGACAAACAGUGUGAAAAAAACACAAUGUACAACUUCAAUAAUACUACAAGCGCAAGUGCAGUAAAGCUUACAUUGUAAAGAUAUCUGCGACGACGGCAACGACGACGAGCUUCAGCACCAGAUCUGGAACUAAAACAAAAAUGGCAGCAGCACCACCACCGCCCGAAUGGUGCAACGGAGCAAAGGAGGAGGAGAUAGAGGGACUCGGAGAACAGGUUCCGCAGUGCGCUCUGGGGCAACUGAAUGCUUAUAGAGCCCCACCCGACGCGGCGAUCUCAACUCACGACGCCCCUGCAUCCGUACGAUCUUGCCUCCAUCGCAAGCGCGUGCUGGCUGGCUCUCGCAGCCAUGGUGGAGGAGGUAGCGGGGGGUGGCUGUUCUGAGUCGUAAUUAGCCUUCGCCCCAACGCCAAAUUCCAUUUCGUAACUGUUCUCCCGAACCUGGGCCACAUGCACUUUUUUGGGCAGUUCUUUCAUAAUGGCCCUCCAUGUUUAACCCGCCUGCUUCUACGAAGGUGUGUACCUCUUCAUUAUGGGUGCUGUCACUUUCAGUCCCUUGUGGGGUUCACCUCUGUGUGAAGGGAAUGAUUCCAUUUGGUGUUCUGGAUCGAGUGGAUGAAUGAAUAGUUGAUACCCUCGUUGUUUCAUUCAUCCAAACUUAGUUUGUUAGUUACUAUUAGCUUUAUGUAUUUUCCACAGGAGCAUUAUUACACCUCUCUAUAUUAGUAAGCUCCCUAAAUCAUUAGUUUGCGCAGAUCUCACUUAAAUGCGUUAUGCCACUUGGGUACCUAACAUCAUCCCAAUUCCUUAGUAAAAUAUGUAUAUGUUGAGAAGUUUUGGCAUCAUGUCAAUGUAGAUAUAAUUUGCUAUUUGUUAUCUAAGUUUAGGGGAAAUUUAAAUUCUUAGUGCAACUGUUGUUGUAUGUUUGUUUGUUAAUGUUUAUAAUCCAACAACUUGUUGAACUCCUUUUUGUUGUUAGCUACAACGUUUGUGUUGAUUAAAAGAUGCCGUGAAAUAUAUAUAUGUUCAUACACAUGCCCAGGUCCUGAAAUACUUGUAUUUCAAAUUACCAAAUAAUGUCAGUGAUAAUACAGAAUAUGUGUGUGUGUAUGUAUGUAUAGAGAGAGUAUUGUUUGUAUGAUUUAAUUGAUUGAAAAAUAUUUGAACACAAAUUAUGAGAAUACAUUACACAAUGAUUAAAACAAUCCCACACUCUCUGAUUUACAAACUCUUUAAGAAGUAUAUACAAAGAAUGAUAUUUUUAUUGCAAAUUACUGCAUAUGCAUCAAAUUGUGCAUUCCUAAAUAACAUUAACUUGUUGUAUAAUUCUCUUAAAAUUCAAAUGUCUUCACGUUUUAAUGUAAGCCUCGUGAAAAAUCAAAAAAAUCACAUGUAUAAAUUAGAUUGGCUUUAUUGUAAUAACACUCCACUUCUAAUUUGAUUUUAAAUACAAAACUGUUGUAAAAAAAAAAAAAAAAAAAAAAAAAAUCAUUAAUGCUACAUAAUGUAAUAAUUAUAUGAAUUUUCAAAAUGAUAACAAUAACAAUUACAAAUGGAAAUACUCUAGAUAACUAAUUAGCCAUGCUGACUUUUUUGGGCUUUGCAAGGUGGAGUUGGAUUUCAAGAAGGGAUUGGUAUUUCUAUAUUGGCAUAACUGGUACCAAGUAUGAAAGUUUACAAGGAAAACAAUAAUAAAAAUAAAAAUAAAAACAAACAAACAAACAAACAAACAAACAAACAAACAGAAACAGUAGGAGUGAAUAUAAUAGGAUUGAUGAUGCAAACAAUUCAAAUAAGUAGAUACUAUUUAUAUUAAAAGAAUAACAGGAUAUAUUUGUGCUAACUGGUAUGUAUAUAUCUGGUAAUUCAAGGUUCUUUGUUAAAUGCAAUAAAAAAUACACUUUGUUUUUGUAACCCUUCUUUUUUACAAUGGCAAGGCCAAGUCAUAGCAUUCAGUGGAUUGGACAUUUCCAACCAAAGGUAUUCCAAAUACAGUCAAAGAAGGAUGAUGGAGAAUUGGACACAAAUAAGUGGCUCUACAUUCACUUAAGCCACAUUUGCUUGUAUUCUCCUUCUACUUUUCUUUAUAUUCUUGCUUUCAUCAUACACAAUUUUUUGCUUAAUGGUACCCUUUUCAUUAAUUAACUAACUAACUAACUAACUAUAUAUAUAUAUAUAUAUAUAUGGUAUCUACUUGUAGCAUCUGCAACAACAAUGUGACAACUGCCACGUGGCUGUCACUGCUUUCUUUGCUCUUUUGUAACCAACAAAGCAAAGUUGUUACAAAAGUCUUGUUACUUGUAAAUGAAAAAUAAAUCAAUGUACAUGAAGAAAAAGGUAAUGAUUUUUGUGUAAAAAAUGAUGCCACUCCUAAUAAACUAAACAAAAAGAACAAAAUAAACUCUCUUUGGGGUUUUUACAUGCAUUUUGCAUUUCAAUAAAACUCGAGCUUUAGUUUCUGGUGAAGAUCAUAAGUGUAGUUGGUGGUUUAGAAAUUUCAAAGUCUUUUUUCUAAUGAUAAAUUUAAGAUUUUUUUUUUUCAUUCUUCACUAAUGUACAAAGAUAAGAAUUGGGAAGAUGUCUGUUACAAUUUAAGUCAUAUCUGAAUAGACAUAGUGCCUUUUUAAAUAUUUCUCUAAUAAAAUUCUUUGUUUGGUGAUUAAAAAUGAAUAAAAUGAAACAAAAAGAGUUAUCAGAAAGAACGUUUGCAAUGAUGUUUUUUUAGUUUUAGUUUAUUUAUUUAUUUAUUUAUUUAUUUAUUUAUUUAUUUAUUAGAUUGUUUAUGUCUUUCGUUCUUUUUUUCUCCUUCACAAGGUGAAGAAAUCUGUUAAAGAUCAAUGAUUGGUGUGUUCUUGUCAACAUGUUCAUUUAUACUAUUUCAAAUGGUGACCACGAGAGAUGGGUAAUGAAAAUUUCUUCUACUUUUACACCCUUUAUAUAUUCAUACUUGGUGAGAUGAAAUCAUCACUCAAUUUUCCACUUAAAAAAUAUGUUAGUAGUAUUUUAUUGUAAUUUAUGUAAGGGAUAAAAGAGGCUCAGAGUCAAUCUAAUAAAAUAACAAAUACCUUUUGGAUGAUAUUAUUCAAUAGCAUUUUACAAUUUGAAAUGUUUUAUUUUUUAGAAUAACAACAAAACACAGUGUGUCAUGGUAACCAGCAUCCAUGCAUAUUAUACCAUUAUUCUUCAUAAAAUUGUGGACAAUGUACUUUCUUAAUUUAAAUUUUUGAGUGUGAAAUACUUAAAAAAAAAGUAUACUGUAAUUGAUAAAUCGUUAUUAAAACAACAAUGCCCUUUGAAAUAAUACAUGUGGAUAUAUGAUGUUAUUAGAAAGAGUCCACAACCUUGAGUCACUUUUUUUAUGAAAGUUGUGUAUAUGAUAUUAUCAACUUGUCUAAAUGUAGCAAUGAUGUUCAAGACAGUGAAUUUUGGUGAUUGGUUAGUCAUAACAGGCAUGAUUUUAUUCAUUUUAGAAAAAAAAUACUUACAUUCUAUUUAAAAUGGUCUAUACAUACAAAUACAACUAUAACUUUGAUAAUGUCUUUUUUUUUCUUUUCUUCAUGAAUACUUUCAUUCCAAAUUUUUAAAUAAAUUAAAUCUCAAAUAGAGAUAUUGUAUCCAUGAUUUUAACAAUUUUUUAAGGUCAAAAUUAUGCUUCUUAUAUUAUCAUUCUUGCUUACAAUAUACCAAUUACUUGAGUAUAAAUAAAUAACAUUUUUAUGUAGGGGAAUGCAAAAUACACCUUCUAAAUCAUUAUUACCACCCCUUCUGUGACUGUGCACAAGUACAUGCAUUAUGCACUUUUAUACACAAGUUAUGCUUGGAGUUUGAGAAAAUGCAUCCUUUUGGAUUAAUCUAAUCUACGAUGGAUCUCUUUGUAUUGAAGAAUAAUUUAAGUAUGGUACUUGCUCGGUAGAGCCUCUUAGACAUCCACAAGUAUGGUGCAUUAACAGAUUUUUUAAUCCAUGUAUUGACAAUAUUAGCCCAAGUAGCUGAUUGUGCACAUGUUCUUGUUGAUGAGGUGCCAAGAUUUGAUAGGUGCCUCUAACUUUAUUAAAAAUGGAUCCAAAGCUAUCCAUAUUUAGCAAUACUUUUGUAUUACUUAAAAUAUCUUAAUGUGCAAAUCCAACUUCAAGUCCAAGCCAUAAUAUAUUAUAAAGGUGCCAAAGAAGAUGGGAAUUAUGCACAUACAAGUGCACCUUUGCUGGCAUGUGAAAUAGGUUUAUCUUGUAGGGACAAUUUAUGACUCAGAUGUAAAGAUACUUACGAGCAUGUUUCACACAUCCAAGAUGUACAAAUAAACAGAUGUGAUACUUGAUCAACAAUAUGGACACAGUAGUCGAAGUAGAAGUUUAAUUCCUAAAGUUGAUCCACAAGAGCAAGGAUUGGCAGGCAACUACCAAGUUCAAAUUUUUGGAUGCAUAUUUUCUUGUAGUCAAUGGUCUUUGCUAUUACUUAUGUGCUUGAAUUGGCUUGCCUUAGAGUGAACAACAUGUCCUUUGGAGCAAUGCCAACAGCAGCCAUUUAUUGCAUUACUUCACAUUAAUUAAACUAAAGACAAAAUACACUAGAAUGUCUAGCCAAGUUGAUAGAAGUCUUGUGGUUGUGCUCAUGCUUGAUUAUUAUAAUGUAUUAAAGUCUAUUUGACUUGUGAAAGCAUCUAUUGAGUUGAAAUGAGCAACCAAUCUUCUGUGUGGAUCCUCUACAAAUUCACUUUGUAUUUGUUUGAGCUUUUGUUGGGUUGUACUUGCUUCUUCAAUCACACUUCAAAACAAUCUUCUGCUAAGAAGGAUCAAAACAUAGCAUUGUAAGCGCACAGCCUUAGGUGUGAGCAAAUGCCUUCACAAAGUGCAACAUGUCUUCUUGUGAGUUGUAGGAAAUUUUAGGUUGAGAUGACAUCCUUACCAUUUGAAUAUAAUAUAAUUUGGUGGUUGAUAGUAUUUGGGAGUUGAAGGUAUUUAGGGAUGUACUUAUCAUCAUCACAAGUGCUUCCAAGACAGCCAAACAGUCAUGUGGAAGAAAGGGAGGGAAUUCCAUUUAUGAGGUGUAGUUGUAUUGAGCAUUGCAAGCCAAAAGUCACAGAAGGGGUGGAAAUAGUGAUGGAAGGGGGUGUAUUUAACAUUCUCCUUUUUUAUAUUUCUUGAGUGUAUAUAUAUAUAUAUAUACGCACACACACACAAACACAUGUGCAUAUUUGUCAUGCUUUCACAUUACUCUAUAUAAAUCCAUAAUUGACAAAUUUAUUUCAACAUUAAUUUUCAUGCUUUCUUCUGCAACACAAACAACAAAGAAAGAAAGAAACCAACAAUAAAAUUAAACAAAUCGAACCAUCAAUACAACAAAUAAGUAUAUAUAUGUAUAUAUAUAUAUAUAUACACACACACACACAGUCAUGAUUCAUUACUAUUCAUACAUACAUUGAAAAUAUACAAAUUGUGGACUAGAUGACAUCCAGAAAAAAAAUCAGCUUGUAACAAAAGGAAUAUGAGGAGAAAGGGCAAUCAAAUAUUAGUUGCCAUAUCAAAAAUACUGCCAAUGUCAUCUCCAUGAGAAGAAAAUUUUACAGCUCUCUCAUCAUUCAGGUCUGCGAAUAGAUCACAUUAACGCGUUCGGGAUUACGCUAUUGUCCCCUAGCCACCCAUCACAGAACCCCAAAAUGAAAUCCUAGUAUUGGAGGGAGCGUGGGAGGCUGCAGUGAGAGGCUAUUGUGCAUCGAGUGCAGGCACCGAAUCAUGAAGAAGCGCGCAUAGUUCCGUCCGUCGCUUCAAUGAAGAGAAAGGUGAAGAAGAUGCUGCUGCUGCUACCACCACUAACUUAACUCUCCAGAUCUGGACGACACACAAGUAGAACUCCUCUCCAGCAGAACCAAGAGAGAUCCCAGCCAGAGAGAGACCAAUCCCAGUGAAUUGAGACCAGAACCAGGACCGGGAUCCCCUCCUUCCUUGUUUCCGCCCCCAGAAAUAUGGGGCAGGACUGACUGACUAACUGACUGACUGACUGACAUUCACUCACCCACUUACUCUCUCUCUCUCUCUCUCUCACUCACUCACGCAGGUCGCCCACUCCCUCCCUCCCUGCCCCCCAAUAAUGCACCACCGCGCCAACGGAGGAGCUAGAGGCCGAGCGAGGUUGGAGGGGGGAGCAAGCAACCCACCCCACCCCCCC
rnacentral:lncRNA from 1 species